GCCCCGGUAGUCCAACCGGCAGAGACGAUGGUCUUAGAAGCCAUGCGUUGUGAGUUCGAAUCUCACCUGGGGCACCA
rnacentral:tRNA from 1 species